rnacentral:lncRNA from 1 species
GGAUUCGAGUGCAAUUAUGGAGUUUUUAGGGAGGAAUUUCUGUACAAUAUAGGCAGGUUUUUGAACAUUUGUAAAGUGGACAUGUGCAGAAUAUAAAACAUUGAAUAGAUUACAAAAGCAUCCCAGGUAUCUAAAAUUACAUACAUACAGACAUAAAGUUUGAGGGUUGGUAGAGACACUUACAUAGCAUAUAUACAGAAAGAUAUAUAAUACUGUAUUACAAAGUCAUGAAUUACUUCCUGGUAUCUAUCAGGUGGCUCAGGCUAUAUGGAGUCCUUUAUGGUAUAGGUAAGCCGAGUCUACUAAAAAUGUGUCGUAGAAAUCUGGUGCUGGAGAACACAAUAGGUUGCGGGAUACUACGGCAUAUUACAGCAUGGAGCCCCUACAUUUAUAUAGGGCAUUGAAUGGACAAAGUCUAUAAACAUGAGAGUUAUAUAUGUUUGGUAGCACACCAUGCCCAGGCCAAUGGGAGAUCCACCAGUUGGUUAUCGUUGAUAACUGGUAUAGAAAUUUGUUUCUCUAUUGUGUUCUCUAGUACCAGAUUUCUAUGACACAUUUUUGGUACACUCAGCUUGCCUAUGCCAUGGGGAGCUCCAUAUGGCCUGGGCUACCUGAUGGAUACCAGGAAGUGGUUCUUUGUAAUACGGUAUUAUGUGUCUUUCUGUAUAUAUGCUGUGUGGGUGUCUCUACCAACCCUCAAGCUUUGUGUCUGUAUGUAUGUAAUUUUGGAUGCCCGGGAUUCUUUUGUGAUCUAUUCAAUGUUUUGUAUUCUGCGCAUGUCUGUUUUACAAAUGUUUAGGGGUUUCUCUGU